AGUUCCAAGGCUUGCACCAAAAUCGCAUUAAAUGGUUUUACCCAAGCACAAGCCAGUGAUGGCCAUGUGCAGGGCUGGGUUACAACCAAGAAUUGUUUGUAGUCCCCAGGGAAAAGCAGAAAUGCAGAGGUAGGGCUGUGCCAUUCUUUGCUGCCAAGUGUUAGGGAUAUGAUACACUUGGGUGGAUUUAGGAGUGGACUAGGCCCAUUUGUAGAAUUUUAAUCCUUUCCUGUUUGUUUAAAUAGGAUUUUCCACAUUCCAAGCUGCUGGUGCUCUGUGGCUGAUCCACCUUUUGGCUUCUCCCCCUUUUAGUUUCCCAAAGUGCUUAUUACAGGAGCAUGCAUGAGGUGGAUAGGGAUGGUGUGGGGGUGGCAUGACCUCAGGCUGGCUUAAGCCAUUGGGGACCUACGUGCUCAGAAACUUCAGGUUUUUACAUCUGUCCUUCCCAAAUGUGUAACUUACGUGUAUGUUUGUUAAUGCACCCGACAAGAAAUGGAUCUGCAGCUAUUCAGACAUGUUCUAGAAAUAGAGGGAAAUAUCCCCAACAGAUAUGCAGGAUUUUUACAAAGUAAAUCUAUAAAUCUGCUAAGCCAGAGACACACAUCCUAUUUCCACUGUUAAAUCUUAACCCCUUCACCUUCAUCCCCUUCCCAAGGGAUAGGAUGAGGAUACUGGGAUUCUUGACAGUGAGUGUAUUUUGAUAUGGGAAACUGUUGUCUCAUAUUCUGGAGCUAACACAAGCUGAAAUUAUUCGGGGUGUGUGGGGGACUGAUGUUGCACUGCCAUGUAACUAUUACAUGUUUGCUUUAAAAUGUCAUCCUACAUAAUGAAUUUACUGUUUUCAUUCUGCUUGUCUCUUAGAACCAAGCAGGAAAACCUGUGUAAUGUGUCUUAAUAUCCUCAGGGUAAAAUUGGAAGGGCCCGACGUGAGAUGAUGCAAAGCUGACCCUACAGUUUGCUGACUUGUUAAUCAAAAGAGAUCUGUGGAAGAUGCUCUGAGGUGGUGUACUAAUGAAGUCCAAGCCUGAUAAUAGGAGUUGCCCAGGGACCUGUCCUCUUCAAGCAUGACAUUACAGUCACUUCCCUCUUCUUAACUUCAGUUAAAUACUUUCAGUUUUGAACCCUGGUGGGUGAGUAGUUAAAAUAAUCUCUUCUAUGUGUAUUACUUGCAUUACACUGCGAACUUAUUAAGAACUGCAUUUUCAAUCUUACUUCUCAUUUAGUUAUUCAAAGUCUUCUCUGUUAUUUGAUUAGGAAAAAUAACUUAGCAUCAUUAUAAAAUUUUGCUCUCUCUGACCCUCUCUUUGAUGUAACUAACAAAUACAUGAUUGAGCCCAGC